UACAGAGGGUGCGAGCGUUAAUCGGAAUUACUGGGCGUAAAGCGUGCGUAGACGGUAGCGUAAGUCAGAUGUGAAAGCCCCGGGCCCAACCUGGGAAUUGCAUUUGAGACUGCUCUGCUCGGGUGCGGAAGAGGGAAGCGGAAUUUCCGGUGUAGCGGUGAAAUGCGUAGAUAUCGGAAGGAACACCAGUGGCGAAAGCGGCUUCCUGGUCCGACACCGACGUUCAGGCACGAAAGCGUGGGGAGCAAACAGG
rnacentral:rRNA from 1 species